rnacentral:rRNA from 1 species
GCAGCAGCCGCGGUAAAACGGAGGGUGCAAGCGUUAAUCGGAAUUACUGGGCGUAAAGCGCACGCAGGCGGUCUGUCAAGUCGGAUGUGAAAUCCCCGGGCUCAACCUGGGAACUGCAUUCGAAACUGGCAGGCUAGAGUCUUGUAGAGGGGGGUAGAAUUCCAGGUGUAGCGGUGAAAUGCGUAGAGAUCUGGAGGAAUACCGGUGGCGAAGGCGGCCCCCUGGACAAAGACUGACGCUCAGGUGCGAAAGCGUGGGGAGCAAACAGGAUUAGAUACCCGCGUAGUCCCUGUCUCUUAUAC